rnacentral:rRNA from 1 species
CUCGGGGGGCUGCAGUGGGGAAUAUUGCACAAUGGGGGAAACCCUGAUGCAGCGACGCCGCGUGAGUGAAGAAGUAUUUCGGUAUGUAAAGCUCUGUCAGCAGGGAAGAAAAUGACGGUACCUGACCAAGAAGCCCCGGCUAACUACGUGCCAGCAGCCGCGGUAAUACGGAGGGGGCAAGCGUUAUCCGGAUUUACUGGGUGUAAAGGGAGCGUAGACGGCAGGGCAAGUCUGGAGUGAAAGGCGGGGGCUCAACCCCCGGACUGCUCUGGAAACUGCCAGGCUGGAGUGCAGGAGAGGUAAGUGGAAUUCCCGGUGUAGCGGUGAAAUGCGUAGAGAUCGGGAGGAACACCAGUGGCGAAGGCGGCCUACUGGGCUUUAACUGACGCUGAGGCACGAAAGCGUGGGUAGCAAACAGGAUUAGAUACCCGGGUAGUC